AGCGAACGCUGGCGGCAGGCUUAACACAUGCAAGUCGAACGCCCCGCAAGGGGAGUGGCAGACGGGUGAGUAACACGUGGGAACGUACCCUUUGGUUCGGAAUAACUUGGGGAAACUCAAGCUAAUACCGGAUAAGCCCUUAUGGGGAAAGGUUUACUGCCGAAGGAUCGGCCCGCGUCUGAUUAGCUGGUUGGUGAGGUAAUGGCUCACCAAGGCGACGAUCAGUAGCUGGUCUGAGAGGAUGAUCAGCCACACUGGGACUGAGACACGGCCCAGACUCCUACGGGAGGCAGCAGUGGGGAAUAUUGGACAAUGGGGGCAACCCUGAUCCAGCCAUGCCGAGUGAGUGAUGAAGGCCUUAGGGUUGUAAAGCUCUUUUACCCAGGACGAUAAUGACUGUACCGGGAGAAUAAGCCCCGGCUAACUUCGUGCCAGCCGCCGCCGUAA
rnacentral:rRNA from 1 species